AUGUCUGAUGAUCUGAGGUGGAGCUGAGGUGGUGAUGCUAGCGUUGGGGAGUGGCUGCAAACACAGAUUAGCAUUAGCAGAGAGGUUUGACUACACGGAGGCCAUAAUGAAUCAAUUGCUUGCAGACUCAUAUCAAAACCCUAUCAGAGAGUGGCAAGUGAAAACAAGCUCGGGGCGCCCACCGAUUCUGCAUUAUGUCCAUGGAAAUAUUGUAUUCCAGGAAACCAGUCCCUGGAGCCCAAAAGGCUGGGGACCGCUGAUUUAGAAGACUCCUCUUGAAGAACAACAGUAACAAUCCAGCUUCCAGCCGCACUUGCCUCUGUCUACAGUUGCUGACACACAGCUCCUAGAACACUUGGAAAUCUCCAGAGUGAUGAGUGUCUUUCGUAUGCUGUGGUGUUCAAAGCUGGAAAUCAGGGUCGACAGAGAACUUCCCAACGCCUGGACUCCCACCCCAGACCAAUUAAAUUAGAACCUCUGAAGGUAGAACCAGGUUAUCAGUAUUUUAAAAAUAAUUUUAAAAAUACUCCCCAGCACAGUUAAUUUUAAUGGGCAGCCACGUUUGAGAACUGGUCCUGUAAACAGCCCAUACAUUCAUGCUUCGGUCGCUGUAGAGACUCACGCCUUUUCAGCAAAGAAGAGGGCAACGAGUAUUUCCAAAGUGGAAGUAGGUGCACAUUGAAAAGCUCCUGCUGUUUCCCACCUUCCUCCACCUAAAACUCUACUGGAGCUCUUCCCAGUCUCAGCGCACUCAUCCUCUCUUAUUGAUGACUUAGGACAUCUGCAGGAGCACCUUAACCCACCUCCCUACUGCCUCUCCUCAUCGGCACCCAGCCUUCAUUUGCCAUGUCUGCUUUCUGACCCCUCUCUUCCAGGAACUUGCUCUAUUAUUUGUCCUUUUCCAUGCACAUUAAUCUCCUCUGUCUCUAUUGGCUCCAUCCUCUAAAUAUUGGAAACAUUUUCAGGUCAACACUAAUCUUUAGCCAAGUAUUCCCUCACCUAUCAGACUUCUUACCUCCAGACUUCAUAGAAAAGUUCACAGUCAUUUUAUCCAGUUCCUGUACCAUGAAUUACCAUUGGUGACCUACCUUCCUCAACCACCAUUUUACUGAAGCAGUUCCCGCCGACGUUUUCCACAAUGACCAUAUCCACGGACAUAGAGGCAGUCCCCAUUCUCACAUGAUCUCACCACAAAACAUUUAGUCUUUUUGUCCAUUUUAUCUUAUGACAUUGAAAUUUCUAGGUUCUUCUGCUAACUUCUUG